AUGCAGUCGAGCGGUAACAGGGGUAGCUUGCUACCCGCUGACGAGCGGCGGACGGGUGAGUAAUGCAUAGGAAUCUGCCCGAUAGUGGGGGAUAACCUGGGGAAACCCAGGCUAAUACCGCAUACGUCCUACGGGAGAAAGGGGGCUCCGGCUCCCGCUAUUGGAUGAGCCUAUGUCGGAUUAGCUAGUUGGUGAGGUAAUGGCUCACCAAGGCAACGAUCCGUAGCUGGUCUGAGAGGAUGAUCAGCCACAUCGGGACUGAGACACGGCCCGAACUCCUACGGGAGGCAGCAGUGGGGAAUAUUGGACAAUGGGCGAAAGCCUGAUCCAGCCAUGCCGCGUGUGUGAAGAAGGCCCUCGGGUUGUAAAGCACUUUCAGCGAGGAAGAACGCCUAGUGGUUAAUACCCAUUAGGAAAGACAUCACUCGCAGAAGAAGCACCGGCUAACUCCGUGCCAGCAGCCGCGGUAAUACGGAGGGUGCAAGCGUUAAUCGGAAUUACUGGGCGUAAAGCGCGCGUAGGUGGCUUGAUAAGCCGGUUGUGAAAGCCCCGGGCUCAACCUGGGAACGGCAUCCGGAACUGUCAAGCUAGAGUGCAGGAGAGGAAGGUAGAAUUCCCGGUGUAGCGGUGAAAUGCGUAGAGAUCGGGAGGAAUACCAGUGGCGAAGGCGGCCUUCUGGACUGACACUGACACUGAGGUGCGAAAGCGUGGGUAGCAAACAGGAUUAGAUACCCUGGUAGUCCACGCCGUAAACGAUGUCGACCAGCCGUUGGGUGCCUAGCGCACUUUGUGGCGAAGUUAACGCGAUAAGUCGACCGCCUGGGGAGUACGGCCGCAAGGUUAAAACUCAAAUGAAUUGACGGGGGCCCGCACAAGCGGUGGAGCAUGUGGUUUAAUUCGAUGCAACGCGAAGAACCUUACCUACUCUUGACAUCCUGCGAACUUGUGAGAGAUCACUUGGUGCCUUCGGGAACGCAGAGACAGGUGCUGCAUGGCUGUCGUCAGCUCGUGUUGUGAAAUGUUGGGUUAAGUCCCGUAACGAGCGCAACCCUUGUCCUUAUUUGCCA
rnacentral:rRNA from 1 species